CUGUCGGCGUGCCUAAUACAUGCAAGUCGAGCGGACCGGAUCGGAGCUUGCUCUGGUUUGGUCAGCGGCGGACGGGUGAGUAACACGUGGGCAACCUGCCCGCAAGACCGGGAUAACUCCGGGAAACCGGAGCUAAUACCGGAUAACACCGAAGACCGCAUGGUCUUUGGGUGAAAGGCGGCCUUUGGCUGUCACUUGCGGAUGGGCCCGCGGCGCAUUAGCUAGUUGGUGAGGUAACGGCUCACCAAGGCGACGAUGCGUAGCCGGCCUGACAAGGUGACCGGCCACACUGGGGCUGAGACACGGCCCAGGCUCCUACAGGAGGCAGCAAUAGGGAAUCUUCCGCAAUGGGCGAAAGCCUGACGGAGCGACGCCGCGUGAGCGAAGAAGGCCUUCGGGUCGUAAAGCUCUGUUGUGAGGGACGAAGGAGCGCCGUUCGAAGAGGGCGGCGCGGUGACGGCACCUCACGAGGAAGCCCCGGCUAACUACGUGCCAGCAGCCGCGGUAAUACGUAGGGGGCGAGCGUUGUCCGGAAUUAUUGGGCGUAGAGCGCGCGCAGGCGGUUCCUUAAGUCUGAUGUGAAAGCCCACGGCUCAACCGUGGAGGGUCAUUGGAAACUGGAGGACUUGAGUGCAGGAGAGGAGAGCGGAAUUCCACGUGUAGCGGUGAAAUGCGUAGAGAUGUGGAGGAACACCAGAUGGCGAAUGCGGAUCUCUGGUCUGCUACUGACGCUGAAGCGCGAAAGCGUGAGGAGCAAACAGGAUU
rnacentral:rRNA from 1 species